rnacentral:rRNA from 1 species
GACGAACGCUGGCGGCGUGCUUAACACAUGCAAGUCGAACGGUGAAGGGGUCUGCUUUUGUGGGCCCUGGAUGAGUGGCGAACGGGUGAGUAACACGUGAGUAACCUGCCCCCUUCUUCUGGAUAACCGCAUGAAAGUGUGGCUAAUACGGGAUAUUCUGGGUCUGUCGCAUGAUGGGUCUGGGAAAGAUUGCGCCUUUGGGUGUUUUUGGUGGGGGAUGGGCUCGCGGCCUAUCAGCUUGUUGGUGGGGUGAUGGCCUACCAAGGCGGUGACGGGUAGCCGGCCUGAGAGGGUGGACGGUCACACUGGGACUGAGACACGGCCCAGACUCCUACGGGAGGCAGCAGUGGGGAAUAUUGCACGAUGGGCCCAAGCCUGAUGCAGCGACGCCGCGUGAGGGAUGGAGGCCUUCGGGUUGUAAACCUCUUUCGCCAGUGAAGCAGGCCUGCUCCUUGUGGGUGGGUUGACGGUAGCUGGAUAAGAAGCGCCGGCUAACUACGUG